rnacentral:rRNA from 1 species
UACGUAGGGUGCACGCGUUGUCCGGAAUUAUUGGGCGUAAAGAGCUUGUAGGCGGUUUGUCGCGUCUGCCGUGAAAUUUCGAGGCUCAACCCCGGGCCUGCAGUCGAUACGGGCAGACUAGAGUUCGGUAGGGGAGACUGGAAUUCCUGGUGUAGCGGUGAAAUGCGCAGAUAUCAGGAGGAACACCGGUGGCGAAGGCGGGUCUCUGGGCCGAUACUGACGCUGAGGAGCGAAAGCGUGGGGAGCAAACAGG